rnacentral:rRNA from 1 species
CCAGUCGAGAAUUUUUCACAAUGGGGGAAACCCUGAUGGAGCGACGCCGCGUGGAGGAUGAAGGCCCUUGGGUUGUAAACUCCUGUCAUAAGAGAACAAGAAAGUGAUAGUAUCUUAAGAGGAAGAGACGGCUAACUCUGUGCCAGCAGCCGCGGUAAUACAGAGGUCUCAAGCGUUGUUCGGAUUCAUUGGGCGUAAAGGGUGCGCAGGCUGUGUGGUAAGUCAGGUGUGAAAUUUAGGGGCUUAACCCCUAAACUGCACUUGAUACUGUCAUGCUAGAGGACUGUAGAGGAGAUUGGAAUUCACGGUGUAGCAGUGAAAUGCGUAGAUAUCGUGAGGAAGACCAGUGGCGAAGGCGAAUCUCUGGGCAGUUCCUGACGCUCAUGCACGAAGGCUAGGGGAGCAAACGGGAUUAGAUACCCCCGUAGUCC